AAAGGCGCUUUCGGGUGUCGCUGAUGGAUGGACCCGCGGUGCAUUAGCUAGUUGGUGAGGUAACGGCUCACCAAGGCCACGAUGCAUAGCCGACCUGAGAGGGUGAUCGGCCACAUUGGGACUGAGACACGGCCCAAACUCCUACGGGAGGCAGCAGUAGGGAAUCUUCGGCAAUGGACGAAAGUCUGACCGAGCAACGCCGCGUGAGUGAAGAAGGUUUUCGGAUCGUAAAACUCUGUUGUUAGAGAAGAACAAGGAUGAGAGUAACUGUUCAUCCCUUGACGGUAUCUAACCAGAAAGCCACGGCUAACUACGUGCCAGCAGCCGCGGUAAUACGUAGGUGGCAAGCGUUGUCCGGAUUUAUUGGGCGUAAAGCGAGCGCAGGCGGUUUCUUAAGUCUGAUGUGAAAGCCCCCGGCUCAACCGGGGAGGGUCAUUGGAAACUGGGAGACUUGAGUGCAGAAGAGGAGAGUGGAAUUCCAUGUGUAGCGGUGAAAUGCGUAGAUAUAUGGAGGAACACCAGUGGCGAAGGCGGCUCUCUGGUCUGUAACUGACGCUGAGGCUCGAAAGCGUGGGGAGCAAACAGGAUUAGAUACCCUGGUAGUCCACGCCGUAAACGAUGAGUGCUAAGUGUUGGAGGGUUUCCGCCCUUCAGUGCUGCAGCUAACGCAUUAAGCACUCCGCCUGGGGAGUACGACCGCAAGGUUGAAACUCAAAGGAAUUGACGGGGGCCCGCACAAGCGGUGGAGCAUGUGGUUUAAUUCGAAGCAACGCGAAGAACCUUACCAGGUCUUGACAUCCUUUGACCACUCUAGAGAUAGAGCUUCCCCUUCGGGGGCAAAGUGACAGGUGGUGCAUGGUUGUCGUCAGCUCGUGUCGUGAGAUGUUGGGUUAAGUCCCGCAACGAGCGCAACCCUUAUUGUUAGUUGCC
rnacentral:rRNA from 1 species